rnacentral:rRNA from 1 species
GCAAGUCGAACGGCAGCACGAGGAGCUUGCUCCUUGGUGGCGAGUGGCGGACGGGUGAGUAACGCGUAGGAAUCUGCCUAGUAGUGGGGGACAACCAGAGGAAACUCUGGCUAAUACCGCAUACGCCCUACGGGGGAAAGCGGGGGCUCUUCGGACCUCGCGCUACUAGAUGAGCCUGCGUCGGAUUAGCUUGUUGGUGAGGUAAUGGCUCACCAAGGCAACGAUCCCUAGCUGGUUUGAGAGGAUGAUC